AGAACGAACGUUGGCGGCGUGGAUUAGGCAUGCAAGUCGGGGGAAUCCGCCGCAAGGCGGGGAACCGGCGUAAGGGGCAGUAAUGCGUGGGUACCUACCUUAGGGUUCGGGAUAGCCAUCAGAAAUGGUGGGUAAUACCGGAUGAUGUCGUGAGACCAAAGAUUUAUCGCCCCGAGAGGGGCCCACGUGAUAUUAGCUAGUUGGUGAGGUAAUGGCUCACCAAGGCAAGAUGUCUAGCGGGUGUGAGAGCACGACCCGCGCCACUCGCACUGAGACACUGGCGAGACACCUACGGGUGGCUGCAGUCGAGGAUCUUCGGCAAUGAGCGCAAGCUUGACCGAGCGACGCCGCGUGAGCGAGUGAAGGG
rnacentral:rRNA from 1 species